UACGUAGGGAGCGAGCGUUGUCCGGAUUCACUGGGUUUAAAGGGUGCGUAGGUGGGCAAGUAAGUCAGUGGUGAAAUCUCCGGGCUUAACCCGGAAACUGCCAUUGAUACUAUUUGUCUUGAAUACUGUGGAGGUCAGCGGAAUAUGUCAUGUAGCGGUGAAAUGCUUAGAUAUGACAUAGAACACCAAUUGCGAAGGCAGCUGGCUACACAAAUAUUGACACUGAGGCACGAAAGCGUGGGGAUCAAACAGG
rnacentral:rRNA from 1 species